rnacentral:tRNA from 1 species
GGGGACAUAACUCAGUGGUAGAGUGCCACCUCGACACGGUGGAAGUCAUCGGUUCGAACCCGGUUGUCCCAA